GUAGGUGGCAAGCGUUGUCCGGAAUUAUUGGGCGUAAAGCGCGCGCAGGCGGUUCUCUAAGUCUGAUGUGAAAGCCCACGGCUCAACCGUGGAGGGUCAUUGGAAACUGGAGAACUUGAGUACAGAAGAGGAAAGCGGAAUUCCACGUGUAGCGGUGAAAUGCGUAGAGAUGUGGAGGAACACCAGUGGCGAAGGCGGCUCUCUGGUCUGUAACUGACGCUGAGGCGCGAAAGCGUGGGGGGAGCAAACAGGAUUAGAUACCCUGGUAGUCCACGCCGUAAACGAUGAGUGCUAAGUGUUAGGGGGUUUCCGCCCCCCCCUUAGUGCUGCAGCUAACGCAUUAAGCACUCCGCCUGGGGAGUACGGCCGCAAGGCUG
rnacentral:rRNA from 1 species